CCCAUCUCAAGUGUGACAGUCUCAGAGCAGGGCCCCAGGCCAGCUUCAGGCACUCCUGCAGCGAGGAAUAAAGGCCCAAGGCCAAGUGGGAGGUGAUGCCACGGCUAGCCACGGAUAUCUGUGAGGAGUAACCCAUGCGCUUCCUCGCAUCAGUGAACACUGCUCAGGGAGUGUAGAAGGAGGGCGGGGGAGCUGAGCCCACCUACCAGCUCAUCACGCAUCCUACACACUCACUCAUCCGGAUUCGCAUUUUUCUCUGCAUUUUACUAAUUUAAUCCUCACUGCAGUGUUUCGCUGUUGGGUACAUCUCCAUCACGGACUUCAGCACGGCCUACACUUCUAGGAUUUACCGGGACCGCAAGGUCCCAUGCGCCCCCUCUCCUGGGAGAUGCUCUAGGAUUUGGGAUAAAAGUCAGACCUCACCGGUUUAUACCCCUCCUCGGCCCCGAAGCCUUCUCACUCUCCCUCUUCGUGUUGGGCCCAGUGCCAGGGAGACGCAGCCCCGCUGUUCCUGGAGAGUCUGGAUCAAAACCAGGGUGGGAGUCACCUCUUCUUCUAGCAAUGACUCCCCUCCCAGGCUUAAAAGCAUCAUCUAAAUUAAGCCGGAGGGGAGGGGCCAUCUGCUACUACAUUCUGUGUGUGGUCCCCUGCUGAAGCAUUUCCAGGAUCACUGAACUCCUGGGUGACAACAGGGACAGGACACCCCUGGCUUCACCUGAGGUGCUGGUGCUCUCACACAGGUAGGUCUUUGAAUCUAAGCAGUCAGCCCGCUAACCCUCACAGCCUCCCUGUCUCAUGGGAGCAUCUAUACAAACAGGGGUCCCUCCUGACCCUCCCACUCACUCCUCAGGAUUCAACACAUCUAGCUAGGCCUCCCUACCUUGGAUCCUCUGAAAUAGCAGAAUAAAUAUAAAAACACAUACUUAGAAGCCUGGAAAAUUAGAAAAUGUGCCAUCAGCAGAACAGAACAUGAGGGAAUUUCCAAGAGAGAAAGAAGCUGAGAUCAGAUUAAUGAUGAAACUCAAUAUCCAUUGCUGAGGAGCCGGCAAAGCUGGAGCCUUAUCUGGAAGUGAGGACCAGGUUUGCCCCCCAGAAUAAAGUCAGGGUGUAGCUGUAAAACAAGACAGAGAGCCGCAAGUGAUUGCUCCAUAGAAAUCAAAGCAAGGGCUCUGCCCAGCAACUGCAGCCAAAAUGAAGAGAGAGUGUCCCCAAAGCAGAGCCCAUGAAGGUGCUUGCCCUGGCUCAUCCCGCCUGUCUCCAUGUGCCUGGGGUUAGGGGUGCAGGGUUGCCAUGAUCAAUCAAAGUGGACAGUCCCUUCAGAAGGAAGGUUUACUUGUGUUACACAGCAAGAGUGAUCCGUCAAGACCACUGUUCCCAAGGAUGCUACACUCAGGACCCCCUUGCCAUCUAAAAAAUGCUUAAGGGCCCCACAGAGCUUUGAUUUCUAUGGAGCAAACCUACUGAUACAUAAUAGAAGUGAAAAAGAAGAAACAAAUUUUAAUAUUUAUACAUUUAUUUUAAAAUGAUAAAGCAUCACGUAAACAAAAAUAAUAUUUCUGAAAAUAGCUAUUUUUUUCUAAAAAUUGUUUAUUUAGUGAGAAGAGUGACAUUGUUUUAUAUUUUUAUAAAUCUCACCAAUGUCUGGCUUAAUAGACAGCUGCAUUUUCAUAUUUGCUUCUGAUUGCAAUCUGUUAUGAUAUCACACAUCAUGUAGACUCUGGAAAACUCUGCUGAGCACUCAUGAAAGAAAAAUGUCUUUGUAUUCCUAUUAGGUAGUUUUGAGUUUGUGGGUUCCUCUGAAAGAGUCUUAGGAACCCCCAGGGUCCAAGAGCCACACUUGAGAACCACUGUCCUGAGAUUCAUUUACAAAUGGGAUCAGACAAUCAAGAAUCCCUGUGUAUUUGAAAGAAAUCAACUGCUUGCUAAAGAAAUCAGACAAAGAGCUUCCAUUCUGGUUCAGUGGGUUAAGAAUCUGGCGUUGCUGCAGCUGUGGUUUGGUUUCAAUCCCUGGCCUGGGAACUUCCAUAUGCUGCAGGUACAACCAUAAAAAAAAGAGAAGGUGAAGGAAAAGAAGAGCCAGACAGACCCUGAAGAAAACAGGGUAAUGCAGGAACCAGAGAUUAUGUUAAAAUAAGUAUAAUUAAUAUCUUUUGAGAGGUUCAACCAGAUACAUUAGAACCAGUCAGAUGAUGAGUAGACACAGAAAACACACAAAAAUCAGUACUUUUUCCUAUAGACGUUAAUCACCAGGUAAGAGAUGGUAUUUGUAGUGGCAACAAAAAUCAUAAACAAUCCUGGUGGCUCAAUGGAUUAUGGAUACAGCACUGUCACUGUGGUGGCUCGGGUCACUGCAGUGGCAUGGAUUCUAUCCCUGGCCCUGGAACUUCUGUAUGCCAUGGGUAUGGACCCCCCUAAUAACAAAUAAUCCAGGUAUAAACCAAUUCUGGAAGACCUACAUAAACAGAGGCUUUAUAUUGUAUUAAAGAACAAAUAUGAGAGAUGUAUUUAUUAUGCUUCUUGCAAGAAGUCUCAGUAUUAUAAAAAUACUAUUAUAUUAUAUUUAUAGUUAUAAAAUACUGUUAGAUUUAUAUGAGUAGUUACAUGAGUUGCUCAGUAAACACCCCUCUGAAUUUAACUGGGUUAAGCUGGAUUUUUGUUAUGUGCAUCAAGAGCUGUACCUCAGAGGGAGUUCCCUGAUGGCCUAGUGAUUAAGGAUUCAGCAUUGUCACUGCUGUGCUCAAGUUCGAUCUCUGGCUCAGGAGCUUCUGCAUACUGUGUGUGGCAGGGACAAG
rnacentral:lncRNA from 1 species